AGUGAACGCUGGCGGUAGGCCUAACACAUGCAAGUCGAACGGCAGCACAGUAAGAGCUUGCUCUUACGGGUGGCGAGUGGCGGACGGGUGAGGAAUACAUCGGAAUCUACUUUUUCGUGGGGGAUAACGUAGGGAAACUUACGCUAAUACCGCAUACGACCUACGGGUGAAAGCAGGGGAUCUUCGGACCUUGCGCGAUUGAAUGAGCCGAUGUCGGAUUAGCUAGUUGGCGGGGUAAAGGCCCACCAAGGCGACGAUCCGUAGCUGGUCUGAGAGGAUGAUCAGCCACACUGGAACUGAGACACGGUCCAGACUCCUACGGGAGACAGCAGUGGGGAAUAUUGGACAAUGGGCGCAAGCCUGAUCCAGCCAUACCGCGUGGGUGAAGAAGGCCUUCGGGUUGUAAAGCCCUUUUGUUGGGAAAGAGAAGCAGCAGGUUAAUACCCCGCUGUUCUGACGGUACCCAAAGAAUAAGCACCGGCUAACUUCGUG
rnacentral:rRNA from 1 species